UAAAAGUCAGGUCGGAUUAAGCCAUAGUACGGAAAAAACUAUGCUACCUGUGAGCCCCGUCCAAGGACGUUAAAAGAAGUCAGGCCAUCAAAAUGCCACGGCUUGAGCAAACCGUGCAGCCUGUAGCUCCACCUGAGGAGGUGUGAAAAACCUGGGAGGCCACAAACCAUGGAAGCUGUACGCAUGGCGUAGUGGACUAGUGGUUAGAGGAGACCCCUCCCUUACAAAUCGCAGCANCAACGGGGGCCCAAGGUGAGAUGAAGCUGUAAUCUCACUGGAAGGACUAGUGGUUAGAGGAGACCCCCCCAAAACAAAAAACAGCAUAUUGA
rnacentral:lncRNA from 1 species